CAGGAAUCCAUACAUGCAGCUCAGGGGAAUGCUGAAGAAGAGAUCUGGGAAAAAAUAGAGGAUAACACAAUCAAGUGAGGAAGGAAAAUGACGUGGUGUCUAAAGUGGAAAUCUGUCUUUCUGUCAACAAGGAAAGAUAAUUCAGACCCUGCAUGGUAUAUAUGUUUGUUGCCAUUGCUGCUGCAGAAGAAGAGGCCCAAAAUGGCUCAGUAUGAUAGGAAAUGCAGAAAGUGGUAAACAACAGAAAAGGAGCUGUUCCAUGUUCCCAGACAGAAGGAAAGAAGGCAGUCCAACACAACAUAUAUUCUCUCUUGUGCUCAAUAAUUUUCCCCUGGGACUUCAUGGAGAGAGACCUAUAUAAAUCCUCUGUGCAAUCUUACUCUGUUUCCCCCAGUAGAGAGCUCUUCAUCAGCAUGCUUUUAUUGGAAUUUGCAAAAUUAGGUGCAAAACAAUAACUACUGGCAAACAUAUCAUUCUCUUUCUGUUCCAUAAAGUCUGCACAAUCAUAUAAGCCAAACAGCA